AAGAUGUAUGAACAAAUAAACUCAGUAAAUAAGUAGGAAAACACGCAUGUUAAGUUUAUUCACUGCUUCAAAAGACUAAAUUAAAAUUAGCUAAAAUCGCUCAAACUAUACUCGACUUUAUCGGAUUAAUAAAUUAGCUAAUCAGUAACCAGGGUUGUCUUGGCAUCGGCAUAUCACUGUACAAAGAAGGAAAUUGCGAAUAACUACUAACUAAAGUGGAGAUCUCAUUUGUCAAAGUCUUCAAUUCGAGCUUCUUAACCGCGGUGCCGUUUGGAGUUUUGUCAAAAUAAGGCAAAAACUUUUCAUAAUCCGAACCAUGAUCUGAUAUGCGAUUUAAGG